AGGCCUUAUAGUUGAAACUCAAACAACAUUAAACUGCAAACUUAAAAGCGUAGCUAUUCUACUAAGGCUUA
rnacentral:tRNA from 1 species